UGGCUUCAAAUGGGAAAUAUCGAUAAUCGAUCAUUCACGUCUCGCCACUCCUGAUUUUCCGACGGGAAAUAGUGACAAUGUUUUCGACCGUUAAAAUAUUCACAUGUUUUUGUUGUUCUCAACUCGUGUGUUAUUUUUUGUGUGUACAGGAGGUUGGUACUGUGAUAACUGCGAAUGAGUUCCUGACGGACGAGAGGGACAGAAAGUACUACGCAAGAUCACUAUAACUGUGCUGGCCACCACCUUCUUUCUUCAUCAUCACCAUCACCCCUCGUAGAGUUAUGUUUUUUUCACAUAUUAUACGCUAAUGACAGGAAGAGAUGAAUCCAUCUCGACCUGUGCCCACCGCACAGCAUUUUCAUUUACAGCCAGACAAGCGAUUGCAGGUUUGGAGGUUCGUCUUCUACAUGGUUCUUCAUGCAGGAUGGCUUCAAUUAUUGUUCAACUUGCCUGGUGCAAGUGUUAGUUGGACUUCCCCUUGGAGAUGGUGCACGGAUCUUUCAGGAUAGGCAUCGUUUACAUGGCAGGAGUCCUUGCUGGUGAGUUUUUAGAUCCAUCAGGUCUCUAGUUGUUCAUAUGUUUAGGGUCGUUGGUGUCAACUUCAAUAUAUUAUCAGGUCUGCUUCAUCUUAA
rnacentral:lncRNA from 1 species